rnacentral:rRNA from 1 species
AGUGAACGCUGGCGGUAGGCCUAACACAUGCAAGUCGAACGGCAGCACAGUAAGAGCUUGCUCUUACGGGUGGCGAGUGGCGGACGGGUGAGGAAUACAUCGGAAUCUACUUUUUCGUGGGGGAUAACGUAGGGAAACUUACGCUAAUACCGCAUACGACCUACGGGUGAAAGCAGGGGAUCUUCGGACCUUGCGCGAUUGAAUGAGCCGAUGUCGGAUUAGCUAGUUGGCGGGGUAAAGGCCCACCAAGGCGACGAUCCGUAGCUGGUCUGAGAGGAUGAUCAGCCACACUGGAACUGAGACACGGUCCAGACUCCGACGGGAGGCAGAAGUGGGGAAUAUUGGACAAUGGGCGCAAGCCUGAUCCAGCCAUACCGCGGGGGUGAAGAAGGCCUUCGGGUUGUAAAGCCCUUUUGUUGGGAAAGAAAAGCAGCAGGUUAAUACCCCGCUGUUCGGACGGGACCCAAAGAAUAAGCACCGGCGAACUUCGG